UUCACACAACCCAUGUAAUACAUAAGGGAAAAAGAUACAUAGUUGGCUUACAAUCGCCACUUCACACAAUUACAUGAAUAAAACAUUACAUCAUCCAGAUACAAUCAAGGUCCGACUACAGAACCAAAAUAAAAGAAGAACCCCAAAUGCAACAAAGGUCCCCGAUCGACCCCAACUGGGCUCCACUACUGAUCAACUAGAACGAAACCACACAAAGGACAACAUCUUCAUUGAGCUUCUCCUAAGCUUGGUUGCGUCAACUGCACGGACUCAUCGGCACCUGCAAACUGGUUUUGGAAGUAUCUGUGAGCCACGGGGACUCAGCAAUCUCGCACCCUCGCGAUCAAGACUAUUUAAGCUUAUGGGUAAGGUAAAAGUAUGAGGUGGAGCUGCAGCAAAUGACUAGCAUAUAUGGUGGCUAACAUACGCAAAUGAGAGCGAGAAGAGAAGGCAAAGCACGGUCAAUGAAACUAUGAUCAAGAAGUGAUCCUAAACAACCUACGUCAAACAUAACUCCAACACCGUGUUCACUUCCCGGACUCCGCCGGAAAGAGACCAUCAUAGUUACACACGUGAUUGAUUCAUUUUAAUUAAGUUAAGGUUCAAGUUAUCUACAACUGGACAUUAACAAAUUCCCAUCUGCCCAUAACAGCAGGCACGGCUUUCAAAAGUUCAAAUCCCUGCAGGGGUGUCCCAACUUAGCCCAUCACAAGCUCUCACAGUCAACGAAGGAAUAGACCUCCACCCGAGACGUUCCGAUCAGACUCGGUAUCCCGGUACAACAAGACAUUUCGACAGGGUAAAACUAAACCAGCAACACCGCCCGAAUGUGCCGACAAAUCCCGAUAGGAGCUGCACAUAUCUCUUUCACAGGGCACACUCAGAUUGUCCUAGGUACGGGUAGGCUAGCCCAGAGUUGCCCCUGGUGGUCACCGGUAGCUGAGAGUUGGACCAACACUCAGAGGAGCACUGACCCGGGGGGGGGGGGUUAAAAUAAUGAUGACCCUUGAGUCCGCGAAACCCAAGGGAAAAAGAGGCUAGGUGGCGAAUGGUAAAACCAAUGUUGGGCAUUGCUGGAAGAGCUUUACUUAAGGCGAACUGUCAAGGGGUUCCCAUUAUAACCCAACCGCGUAAGGAACACAAAAUCCGGGAACAUAACACCGAUAUGACGGAAACUAGGGCGGCAAGAGUGGAACAAAACACCAGGCAUAAGGCCGAGCCUUCCACCCUUUACCAAGUAUAUAGAUGCAUUAAUUAAAUAAGAUAUAUUGUGAUAUCCCAACAAGAAAACAUGUUCCAACAAGGAACAACAUCACCAUGUUCCAACAAGGAACAAACUUCAAUCUUCACCUGCAACUAACAAUGCUAUAAGAGGGGCUGAGCAAAGCGGUAACAUAGCCAAUCAACGGUUUGCUAGGACAUGGUGGGUUAGAGGUUUGACAUGGCAAUUUGGGAGGCUGACAAGCAAGUGGUAGGCAUCGUAGCAUUGGCAUAGCAAAAGAGCGAGCAUCUAGCAUAGCAAAGAUAGUAGUGAUUUCGAGGGUAAUAUCAUCUUGCCUGAAAUCCCGCAAGGAAGAAGAAUGAGUCCAUGAAGAAGACAAACGGACGUAGUCGAACGGAUCCUCACAAACGUGACGUUAUCGGAACCAACCCGAAGAAGCAAGCACCGGAAAAGAAGCACACAACAUAGUGAACAGCCACCACAUAAACAUGGAAAGAUGCGCAAUCAAGUAUGAUGCAUGUCCGGUUUAAUGAAGCAUGGCAUGGCAAAGUGCAACAACCAAAACUACAAAUUAAGUGGAGCUCAAUAUGCAUCGGGAUGCAUAUUGACAAAACACCACAUCAAUUAUUUAGUUCUCUCUUGUUUAUGUACCCAACAAUAUUAAAUGUUGAUUAACAUGGCAAGAGGUGAAGCACAACAAAACUACCUAUCUAGACAAGUUUAAAUGAGGCCGGAAGCAACGAACAACAAUUCCGGAAACACCUCAUAUGCAAAAAUUAGGUUUGGUACUGUUCUGCCCUAAACACAAUUUUAAAGUUGUUAAACAUGCAAAGUAAGGUCACCAUGUUAAACUAGGCAAAAUUCUACCCCAUUUACAUAUAAAGUUUGUUAAAAACGGAGCUACGGUUAUUUAGUUAUGAAUUAAAUCAUUUUAACAUGGCAUAGGAGCAAAUUAAUGCAAACAACAUUUUUAACAUUUCAAACAUAGAUGAAAGUUGGAUAUUAUUAAUCUACACAAAAUUCUGAGCAAGUUUCAUAUAUAAAAUAUUUUAAUCCAAUGCACGGUUAGUGAGUUAUUAAAUGCAUGAACUAGGGGGACUAAUCUGCAAAACUGGCAAUCUCUGGAUAAAUGGGAAAUCCCAGGCGCUAAAAAAAGACAUGCGGGCCGAAUCAGGAACUAGCCCAAUAGUAGGAAGGAAAAAAAACUGAGGCGCUGGGGAGGCCUCACCCAGUGGGCUUCGGCCCAGGUUGGAGGAGGAGGCAGGCCGAGGCGGGGGCGCUGGCUGGGCCUGACGCGACGCUGCGCUGGGCCGGGGAAGCUGAGCCGCGCAAAUGAGGCAGCAGGCUCGGGCGGAGUCAAUGGCGAAGCGGAUCGGGGCUCUCCCGAUCCCGUCCGGCGGCAGUGGCGUGAAGGAGCUCCGGCGAGGCAGUUGGAAGACCUCCGGCGAGGCAGGGAGGCAAAGGAGCACCGGAUGCGGCGGGGCUCGGCUCCCCGAGGCCGGAUCUGGCCAUGACGAGACGACGGCGCUAGGGAUGCGGGAUCCGGCGAGGAACGAGGAGGCGGCGGGGAACUCCGCCCUGGGGUCGAGGUGCUCGUCGGCGGCGAGGCUCUGGUGCGGCAGAAGCGAGGAGGCGGCGGCGGAGGAAGACUCGGGCGGCGGCGGUGCGGAUCUGGCCCGGGGGCGGCUCGGGCGGGCCGGCCACGGGCUCCUCGGGCCCGGCCGCGCGGGAGGAGAGAGAGAGGAUGAGGUGGCGGCUCCGGAUUGGAUAGCGGCGGCGGCAGGGUGAUGUGGCGAGCUCCGAUUCGUCGGAGUGAGGUGGCGGUGGCGGUGGACAUGUCCGGCGCAGGAAGAAACGUCCGGCGGCGCGGAGGGAGUUGGAUCUAGGGUUUCAUCCGCGAAUUGAUCCGAAAUUUCGGGGAGGAGUGCUUUUUUAUAGGUAGAGGGAGAUAGGAGAAUCCAAAUGAGGUGCGGUUUUCGGCCACGCGAUCGUGAUCGAACGCUCUAGAUGAUGGAGCAGAGUUAGGUUGGUUUUGGACCAAAAUGGAAGGGUGUUGGGCUGCAACACACACGAGGCCUUCUCGGUCCCUCGGUUAACUGUUGGAGUAUCAAACGAAGUCCAAAUGGUACGAAACUUGACAUGCGGUCUACCGGUAGUAAACCAAGGACGCUUGGCAAGUCUUGGUCCAAUCCUGAAAUGUUUAACCCCCACACAAGAAAGAAAGGUAGAAAUGACCACCGGAGGAGAACGGAACGCCGGAAUGCAAAACGGACAACGGGGAAAAAGCAUGGAUGCAUGAGACGAACACAUAUGCAAAUGAAAUGCACAUGAUGACAUGAUAUGCAAUGCAUGACACGCAAGCAAUGACAAGGCAACAACAGCGGAUAACUGGACGACACCUGGCACAUCGGUCUUGGGGCAUUACAACACUCCACCACUACGAGAGGAUCUCGUCCCGAGAUCUAGAAUGGCACCGGAGGGACAACGGAAGAGAUAAGAGAAGAGGUAAAACUAAGUUGCUUCUUUGACAAACGAGUGAAACCAAAGAACCUUGAGGAGGUUAGGCAAAUACGAGAAAAGAAAACAACGGAGAUGAACAAAGUUGAAAACACUCCGUUAAGCAAGAGGAAUAAGAAAGAACCGAUUCGGGUAGCACUUCGGUUGAAAAGAGAUGACAACUUGAUAAGACGAAAAGAACUUGAGAAAAAUGGCACAACACUCCGGUUAAAUGAGUAGGCAUGAAAAGAAACAUGAUCUUGAUGAAGCGAGAUGACGGUUGAAGACAGCAACAUGACAAUGGCUCCGGAACAAAAGAAUAGAAGAUAGAUAAUUGAAAUAGGAGAAAUGAGGAGAAAAAUGCCUGCCAAAAGAGCUUGAGAAGGCAUCUUUAGGAGAAGGGUCGAACGGAGUUGUUGGAAAACCAACAACGAAAAGAACAAGGAUUGUAGUGGGCUUAUGGAGAACAUCUCAAAACUAUUAGGUGAAAUUCUGCCACUAACAGAACCGAUAAAUUAGAUUGAUAACAACAAGGAGAUGAGAAGCUUAAUUCACCGGGAGGAUAGAUGAAUAACUUGGUUCAUUUAUAAACAACAUAGAUAGCAACAAGCCAUAGGGAAGGCUUUAGGUGAAAUAUAACCCAAGAUAAUUCCAAUGACGAGAUUGAUGGAUUUAAAAUACCUCAUUCAUAACAACAUGUGAGUUAUGAAACAUGAACUCAAAUCAUUAAGAAUGACAUAAUACCACCUCCAAUAAUACAGAAGGAAGAAUUGCACUCCGGAUAGGAAGAUGAUGAAAGCUUGAGUUCCCCUGAACAGAAUAUUGAUGAACACUUCGAGAAGAAAUUAAAUCCUUGAUGAACCAUCAUGUAGAACCUUCAUGAAGGACUCUGGUAAACAAAAGAUAAUGAAAAGAGAGAGAAGUUGAAAACACAAGGUGAAACCUUAUAAUGAUUCAGAUGGACCUCCAUGAUAAUUAGAGCUUGGAACUUCGGGAAGAAAAGAUAAAGCAUCUCGAACUGAGAAUAUGAUAUGAUGAACCACUCCGGAAUAAGGAAUUGAAUUUACUCGAUGAAAUAAGAAUAAGAAUUACAUUAUGCUUAUCCAUCACCAAUUUAAAUUGAUGUCGAGAAAACGGAUUUGGCAAACUACUUAUUCUCUUUGAAAAGGAUUAAGAUAGAUAUAGCGUCAACUUGAGAAAUUCUUCAACAAACCACCGGAAGGAUUGAAAACAACGAAUAAAUUGAUGUUAUAACAAGGAAGAAAAAUCCUGAAUAGCCACCGUAAGAAUUAAAAAUGAACGAAGAGAAUAUAAAGAAAACAACGGGAAGAAUUAGCAAAUGAAUGAAGAUGCUUGAGAGAAUUUAUAUAUGAGAGAACAAAAAGAUCAUGCACUGAUUAGAGGAUAUAUGAUCGAUGCACCGGUAAGAUUUAGAGAACGAGAGCUGAAAACCGAGAAUGAAUAACCCUGAAUUGGUGAACUCCGGAUAACAAAACUGAAAAUACUCCUAAAUAUCUCCUGAUUGGUGAAAAGGAUUCUCACAAUCGAAAAUAAUUAUGAGAGGAUGGCAACAAGCUAGAAUCACGAAUCUUGAAGAGAAUGGAGCAAGAUUUGGAGGAAAAACUCUUCUUCGGUCUUCAAAUGAUGAGAAAGACGACGAGAAACAUCACCAAGAAUUAUUGAGACACUCCGGAAUGAAGAAUGGAAAAGUUGAGCCAACGAAGAAAAGAUUUUGGCAGAUCUUGAGAAGACAUUUGACUAAUGAUAAAUCAUUCUUACGUCAAACUUCGAAAAGAAUUUGAGAAUACCUCCGGGAAAAUAAGAAGAGUCAGGUAAGAUCCUGGGAAAAGACCUGUGGGUUAGGGCCCACUCAAGAGAAACACCGUUGAAAUGAUUAAGAAGAGAGGUUGCACCGGUAAGAUUAAAUGACUUGAAUGAGAUACCAAUCUCAAAAGAGCUUGAAUGAAUGCAGAGUGGAAACACGAAUCUUCGAGAUAUCUUGAGCACUCUGGAACAAUUAAAUAGCGAGAAGUGAAUGAAUAUGAGGUGCACCGGCAUGAGAAGGUAUUUGAAACGAGGAGAAAGAUAUGAUCAAUAAUGCUUGAAUUGGUUCCACCGGAGAAGAAAAAGAAUGAAGAAUGGUGAACUUGAGGCUCCGUUAGGAUCUUCAUGAGAAUCACCGAGUAAGAACAUUGACGAAAAAGAAUGGAGUGACUUCACAUGAAUUGAAUGGAUACCCGAUGAAGAAAUCUGGGUCCUCGAAGAAACAAAAAGGGAGGGAGGGUGGGAAAAAGAAAGACAACUUGGAGGUGGAUGAAACGAACGCCGUUGAGAGAGCUGAUACUUGAUCUUGCAGAUGUUGAAAUGAUCGGAUCCACUUGAGGAGAGACACACCGGUUGAAAAGAAAUUGAAAAGAGAAACUCGAUGAUCGAGAAGGAUUAGUAUUCACAUAGAAAUAUGAGAACACCAUUUGGGGAAGGUAUGGGAUCAACAUUUGACUUCGAAGCAACUUGAAUACCACAACUCAAAACAAAAACAGAGGGAUUGGUUUGCAGAAUAAGCCGGAACAAACAUAUGAUAGAGAUUUCGUCCGAAGUUUUCGUGGUGGGGCCUACACGGGCUCGAUCGUACAGCACCAUCAUGUACAAGGCAGUGCACAUGACAUACGAAGCGUCCCCGAGUCAGCAUAGCCAAGGACUCUUUAAGACACAACGAGACCACUGUAAAACCGACCGUGAAUAGGCGGACCACUAGACGUCGAACCCCAAUUUCAUAUCAUACAUCUAUCGAAAAGAUAUCCUAAGAGCUACUUGAAUUCCCACUUAUAAACUUCUGAACCUUUCCGGUUAUGCAAUCAGGUGUUGGGGAUAUAGGGGAAGCAUAAUAUCUCACCCAAAACUAGCAAAUCCUACAUCUAGCUGUAUCCAUCCUUCAACACAUAACCAAGAAACCUUCGGAAAUCGUCUACCUCAACCUUCGAAAAGCAUCCGUUAUACAAGUUAUGGCGAUACUCCCGAACUCCCGCCCCAGUACUGGGUGGCGUCGAGGUUAUCUCACCAACGAACUGCAUAAAAGAGAUUUUCGAUGUCGGUGAACAUAUCUCAAGUAUUCCAGAAUUGCAACGAUAAAAUUAUGAUGACAACACCUCAGAGCUCAACUCCCUGGGACACUUCCACUAAACCCCUGACAGGAGGCACCAAGACAGUAUUCUCAUCAUAAGCCAUCGGAAUGAUUCCAAGAUACUCGCAUGAUCCUAAAAAAAAAUUUUAGUGAAAUUUGAGAAGAGAAGAGUCAAAACUCUACGUCAGGAUGCCUUACCAGAGCGAUGAGGAGACUGGGAAGUAAAAGAAUUCCUAAGCUCUCCGACAUAUAAUUCCUAAAGACUCAAAACAUUUUUCUAGACACAACUCGGCUGCUAAAAACGAUCAAGCAAUGGGGCUCCUAAGGUCGGGGAAGGCUCUGAUUACCAACUUGUAACACCCUCGAUGCGACUAUAGCUCCCACGUGUUGAGGCACGACUUAGAGGCAUAAUCGCAUUGAAGACAUAUGUCGCAAGUGAGGUAAUCUUCACACAACCCAUGUAAUACAUAAGGGAAAAAGAUACAUAGUUGGCUUACAAUCGCCACUUCACACAAUUACAUGAAUAAAACAUUACAUCAUCCAGAUACAAUCAAGGUCCGACUACGGAACCAAAAUAAAAGAAGAACCCCAAAUGCGACAAAGGUCCCCGAUCGACCCCAACUGGGCUCCACUACUGAUCAACUAGAACGAAACCAC
rnacentral:lncRNA from 1 species